rnacentral:rRNA from 1 species
UACGAAGGGGCUAGCGUUGCUCGGAAUUACUGGGCGUAAAGGGAGCGUAGGCGGACAGUUAAGUCAGUGGUGAAAGCCCAGAGCUCAACUCUGGAAUUGCCUUUGAUACUGAUUGUCUUGAGUAUGGGGAGAGGUGUGCGGAACUCCGAGUGUAGAGGUGAAAUUCGUAGAUAUUCGGAAGAACACCAGUGGCGAAGGCGGCACACUGGCCCAUUACUGACGCUGAGGCUCGAAAGCGUGGGAGCAACAGG